rnacentral:sRNA from 1 species
GGGUAGCGCGCGUCAACCGGACGCGGUGGUAUGAGGAACGGGCAGGUUUUUCCGGUUUCCCGCCCGGCCAACGAAGUGGCAGCCGAGCCUCUGUCCCACCCGCGCU